ensembl:lncRNA
UUUUUUUUUUUUUUUUUUUUUUUUAAAGAUUAUUUUUUUUAAAUACACAAAUAGUGAAAGACAAAAUCACACCAAGCAUUGGAUAGAAGCAGAGCUCUGAACUUUACCUGAUGCAAGUGCCGCCAUUCUGUUCUAGUGUGUGUGUGAGUGAGAAUGAGUGAGUGAGUGAGUGAGUGUGUGUCUGCCCUGUCUGUCCAUCUCCUGGGUAACCACCAGUCCGGAGUUCAGCAUAGUGGACCUCCUGAAGGUCUGUGAACUUUAGCCCAGCUGUGAGGACACUCGCGCACAGCGUCGGAGAAGAAACCGCGUGAGAUGGCCAAUCAUGACUCGGCGAGGGCGGAGUCUGCAUCCUGCCAUCGGGAAGACGCACAGAUCCUACGGGCAUGUCGUUCACACUUAAAACUAUCCCGUAAUCCUUUAUCCUGCCCAGGAGCCCCGCCUUCUUUCGCUGACCUAUUGAAUGAUGAUGUUAGGUCUCUGGACCUGCUGCGCCGAGGAAGACAUUGCUUUAUGUGAGAGACAUGGCGCAGGACUACAUAUUUUUAAGCAGUCCUGAGUUUGGGUCCGUCAAAGGAGUGAUCUAUCCGAGAGCGGAGUCUCCUGCCGUUAACCCGACCCGAUGUGUUAUACAUGUAACAGUUGAACCUUUUUAAAGUUGUAAAAUAACUAAAAAGCUGUAAUUAUAUUUCAGGCCGUUAUAAUGGAGACAGAUGAUAGUGUACGGAGGUAGAGGGGACGCAUACGAUUUUUAACUCUGGUCAUGUUAUGUAAUUCGUUAUUUUGUAACGUUACUCUUUUGUUGAUCUUGCGUGUUUCUUUUUCAUUUGUGGGAUUUACAUAAUUUGAAAAGAAACUGUAUUGCUUUAUCGUGUAAUGGUCUUUUUCGCUCGCUCUCUCUCUCUCUCUCUCUCUCUCUGUCUUUACCUUCCUUCUCUCUUUAUUUCUGUGGUUUCACAGCUUUUAAUGACAGGUUGAGUUUUAAUAACAAAUUGUAACAUUUUAAUUCUCCUUACGUUUGUUGAUUUCUGAUGUUUUUAAAUGUAAUCAGGGUUAAUUAAACUGGUUAAUACCACCUGAGGGAUCUCGACGUUGUGACUGUGUUCUUUCCUCAAAUGUCGGUCGGCGUUGGUAAAUUUCGGCCUCCGACUCUCUGCACAUCAUAAAGCAUAUUCAUUAAGCGCUCGGGUAUUAUGUUAUCUUCGGUGACGUCCGAAAUGUAUUUUGUGAUGGUCUUUCUUCGAUAUGUCGAUCUAUUUUCACUUUGGUUCAUGGAUUCCUAAAUUACCCACAAUGCCGUUUAACUGGCGUCGCUGGGAUUUAUGCUGCAUUUGAUCUACCUUGAAGUUGGGGAAAAGCGUGGACGCCUCAGUGUUUAUUUUCUGUUGCCAACAAGCUAGCCAGCUAGCUGUGAGGAGUGAUGUACACCGAUCAGCAUCAACAUGAACACUACGUGCCUGAUUUUGUGUAGGUCCCCCUUGUGCUGCCCAGAUAGCUCCGACCCGUCGACGCAUGGACUCCAUAAGACCUCUGAAGGUGUGCUGUGGUGUCUGGCACCAAGACGUCAGCAGCAGAUCCUUUAAGUCCUGUAAGAUGCGAGGUGGGGCUUCCAUGGAUCGGACUUGUUUGUCCCACAGACGCUCGAUCGGAUUGAGAUCUGGGGAAUUUGGAGGCCGAGUCAACACCUUCCUCAAACGUGUUCCUCAAAUCAUUCCUGAAUUUUUGCAGUGUGUCAGGGAGCGUUAUCGUGUUGAAAGAGGCCAGUGCUGUUAGGGAAUACUGUUGCCAUGAAGGGGUGUACUUGGUCUGGAGCAAUGUUUAGGAAGGAGUUAAGGUGUUAAAGUAACACUUACCCAAGGUUUCCCAGUAGAACACCGCCCAGAGCAUCACACUGCCUCCACCAGCUUGCCUUCUUCCCAUAGUGCAUCCUGGUGCAAACUCUUCCGUCCACGUGAUGCGAAAGAAAACCUCAUCCGUCAGACCAGGCCACCUUCUUCCAUUGCUCCAUGGUCCAGUUCUGAUGUUCACGUGCCCAUUGUAGGUGCUUUCGGACAGGGGUCAGCACGGGCACACUGACCGGUCUGCAGCUACGCGGCCCCGUACACAACAAGCAGACAUCUUUCCAUCAUAGUUAACUUUUUUCAGCAAUUUGUACUACACUAUCUCACAUCCUGAGUUCCCAAGUAGGAAUUCUGAGUCGAACGUCCGAGACGUUUUUUUUUUUCCCCUAGUCGGCGGUCAGAACUUACGAGUUAUGAUAUUGAGUCGAGCGCAACAUUGGCUCUUGCUUCAUCUCAGACAGAGAUGCAUCAGUGUUUUAGUCCUUCAGGCUGUCUAGCUCCCUCACCUCCUCAAACAGAGAAAGUUCUAAUUCUUAAGGUUUCAUGCUAGGUCUGCUGUUAGCACCAUCAUGCUAGUCAGAAUGCUAACGAGCCGAGUCGAGACUCGGCGGAACUGCGUCGUUUAUCUCCGUCGCACUCUGAAAGAAAGAGGACAGCCGUAUAGAAAACCUAUAGUUUCACCCUCUCUUUCUUCGCCUGUACGGGCGUGGCCGCGUCCACGUUCCUGAACUCGCUCUCUUCUAGAUUGUCGCCAGUGUUUAUUUAUUUCAGGAAUCUGUUUACGCUCCUCUUUCAGAAUCGGGGCCAUGACCCUGAAUAUCUUUACCUUCCACCUUUUUCUGUAAGAUCUUCUUUGAGUCCUGAUGUUUCUCCUUCCUUCAAGUUUGAAUUUACCACCUCCUCAGAUUGCCUGCCACCACUGCUGAUUUUUGCUCCUUAUAUAUUAUCACUACAUCUGGUUAUAAUUCUCAUCUUUUAAGUGGUGUAUAAAUAAAUGAUUUUGGUGGAG